GCACCGGGGGCUCGGUGGUUGAGCAGGGGAUUGCAGUAUGACUAUCCCAAGGCCAUGGGUUCAAAUCCCAUUCGGUGCU